UGGAGGCAGCAGUGAGGAAUUUUGCGCAAUGGGCGAAAGCCUGACGCAGCAACGCCGCGUGCGGGAUGAAGGCCUUCGGGUUGUAAACCGCUUUCAGCAGGGAUGAAACUGACAGUACCUGCAGAAGAAGCCCCGGCUAACUACGUGCCAGCAGCCGCGGUAAUACGUAGGGGGCAAGCGUUAUCCGGAUUCAUUGGGCGUAAAGAGCGCGUAGGCGGAUUGUUAAGCGCGAUGUGAAAACUGGGGGCUCAACCCGCAGCCUGCAUCGCGAACUGGCAGUCUUGAGUCUGGUAGAGGAGUGUGGAAUUCCCAGUGUAGCGGUGAAAUGCGCAGAUAUUGGGAGGAACACCAGUGGCGAAGGCGGCACUCUGGGCCACGACUGACGCUGAGGCGCGAAAGCUAGGGGAGCGAACAGGAUUAGAUACCCCGGU
rnacentral:rRNA from 1 species